CCAACAGGUGGAAUGGGCAGAGAGGAUGUCUCUGACAAGGACUGAGAACUAGAUGAAAAGGGAGAACAACCCUGUGGUACCUAGGGGGACAGAAAAACACACUCUGCAGGAUGAAGAGGGAGCUGAGAACCUUCUACAACUAUAGAAAAGAAGGAUACAGACCAAACAGGAAGAGACUUCACAGGUAGCCUAGCAUGUCAUCUUGGGAGCUUGGAAGGCCACCAUACUGAGUCUUCAAAGUUUAUGAGAGGGUUGUGACUCCCCCACAUCCUGGGUGUGUGCAGAAUGGGUUACAGCGGGGGCAGAAAGAGAGACGUGGAAAACACACUAGCAGAUGAAAUGGUGAUUGAUUGAUUGAUCAGAAGCCCAGAAGGAGGUGACCUGAGCAAGCUAGCACCUCACCAGCCCGGAUGGAAAGAUGGAAACAGUGGUAUUUAAUAGACGGGAGACCUGAGGCGAAUUUGAGAAGCAAGCCAACAAGAUUUACUGACAGGAAGAUCAUCAAAGCUGCGGUCCCCACCAGCAGCUCCUGACAUUCCUGAGGAAACCUCCUUCCUUCCCUUUGGCCUCUUGUGGCUACACACAGUCACUCACUGACCCUGGCACACACUGUAGGUCCUCAGUAGGAAACCAAGCUAAUCUCUCUCUCUAAGGGUUUUUUUUUUUUUUUUUUUUUUUUUUUUUUUUGCCAUUUUGAAUCUUCCAGGAGAGCCUAUCUUGCUUAUUCUUGUAGCUAAUCCCAGCCCCUUGCACCGUGCCUUCCCCAUAAAGAGAUGUGAAUGAACCACUGCUCCACCGGUGAGCAAGUGGGGGAGAACGGGAAACAGCUCCAAGUUGCACUUACAGAAGACUAAGUACUGACAGGAAGCGCUGGUUGGAGAGUAACUGACCACCCUGGGAGAGCAGCCACUGAGAGGAACAAAGACACCUUUCACCCUGCAGGAUUUCAGUCAUUCAUGACUCAGCACCGGGAGGGAAGCCAGACACAGUGCAGCAGGAUCCUAGCCCUGAAUGGGGAUAGAUCGGUAGCCCAGCCCCACUAACAAGAAAGGAUACAAAAAGGAUACAAAGGCAUACAGGUGAAAGGGACUCCAUACACCAUCCCAGCACCGUGCCCCAGCCCAUUUGAAAACCCGUUAUGGGGCAGAUCAUGGCUGCUUCCACACUCAACAGCAGCGACUAGUUACCUGGGAAGCCUUGCUUGGCUGCAACUUCAAAGAAAACGCCACGCAAACAAGAGUGAUUUUACAUUGCUUUCCUAUCAUACAUUGUUCCAAGCCCAUCCUAAGGGGGUGCUCGGAAUCCAGUAACGAUCACACGAUUGCCAACUAACCUCUCCUCAGCAGCCUCACACUGAUGGUGGGGGUACAAGCUAGCCACACACCGAAGGUGGGUAUUUUAGUCAUUAAAGACCAAAUGCAGGAAUAGUGUGGGUUUUUCAGCGCACACACACACACACACACACACACACACACACACCCUGCUAUGUGCUGCCCAAAAUCUGUGGGUGGGUAACUCAGGCUUGACAGUAUGUAAAAGUGUCUCUCUGUGGCUGAAUCACACUCUUUGUGAUCUGUAGUGCGUAGCACUGAUACAUGCAGGUUCCUAGCAUCAACCAAGGCUUUGAAGGGGAAACAAUUUGAUCUCUUGAGAUGGAAGAUUGAAGUUCUUGCUUUGGAAACUGUUGCUGAAGGGGGUAGAGAGUUCACCCUUCCCUGUGAACCUCGAGACAUUUAAGAACCAAUAAUGAGCAGGUGGCUGCUCAGAUCAGCUCAUCCCUAUCGUAUAGAACAGGACGUCUGUGACCUGCAAGGGGCUUUCCAGGAGGGGUCAUCUUGAAGGUAUUUUCGGCGUGCCUAUACUGUUGAGUGACAGUCACAUUCUUCUUAAGGAUUAAGCCUCAUCAACCAUUUCAAAGCCAUCUUGGGUUUACUCUGGCACCGAGAGACGGAGACAGAAAUCAACAUCAUCUCGUUACGUGAUCAUCUUUGGCAAGAGACGACAUGAUUUCGCCUUCACAGGAAGGAAUGUUGCCUGUGUGGAGCAAAUCAGGCCCAGUGAACCUGUUCACCUACCAACCCCUCCGCCACUCGAUGAUGGAGAGAAAGCCUCUCUCCUGGUGGCCUAGCGGGAGGCUUGUGAUUGGUCCCAAACAUGAAGGCGAGAGAGGCCAGGAUGAGAAGUAGACAGAGGAACAGAAAGCUGUGGAGAGCCAGACAUGUAUGCUCAUGUCUUCAAAAGAGGGUCCUUGGAUUGAGAUUUCCAGGUUAGUAAUCGCACUAUGUCAAUCAUCCAUCUAUUUAAUCCUCAGUGGAUGCCACCCCAUGCAAACCCCACCAAACCCAUACUAAACC
rnacentral:lncRNA from 1 species